rnacentral:pre_miRNA from 1 species
UUGCGUAGGCGUUGUGCACAGUGUUCUUUAAAUUACAAUUGUGCAUCUCAUCCACGUAAAU